rnacentral:rRNA from 1 species
GUCCACGCCCUAAACGAUGUCGACUAGGUGUUGGGAAGGAGACUUCCUUAGUACCGCAGCUAACGCGUGAAGUCGACCGCCUGGGGAGGUACGGUCGCAAGAUUAAAACUACAAAGGAAUUGACGGGGACCCGGCACAAGCGGUGGAUGAUGUGGAUUAAUUCGAUGCAACGCGAAAAACCUUAACCUACCCUUGACAUGUCAGGAAGUCCGCUGAGAGGUGGAUGUGCCCGAAAGGGAACCUGAACACAGGUGCUGCAUGGCUGUCGU